CUCUGUCUCUCUUUCUCUCUGUCUCUGUCUCUGUCUCUGUCUCUCUCUCUCUCUGCAGAAUUGUGGGUGAUCAUUUCCCAGCAGCAAGAGGUUAUGGAGGAUAUCUUGUCUCUAGAGAAGGAAGAGAAAAAGGAAUCAAAUGCAGAAGAAUGCUAGAAAUCUGUCCACACACUAGGGACCCAAAGAAGGGCCAGCAUCCCCCACCAAUGUCCUCCACAAGUCCAGCUUGAGGCGAAGAGCCCACGGCAAUGUUUCAUGCAAAUCUGUACCAAGGACCCGCACUGGGAAGGCCCAAAAGCCAGUGGUGGAAGCUAGAAAGUCUACUCCAUAGGAUGAAGGAUCUGUGCCAGCCGGCUGAGCGAUCUGCAUCGGAGCCAGGAAAUGACACUCAAGGUGCAGAAGGGACAAAAACUGAAUGAAAGGUUCUGAAGGAGAAAUCCAAAAGAAGAUGUAUCAUGCUGCAGAAAAGAAGCUAUGUUCUGUGGAUCAUCAGUUGUCUACGGCUUACAAACUCGCAGAGCUUGUGGACUGGGAGGAGAACGAUUCAAGUUCCCAGAACUGUGUUCAACAGACUCAGCUCCUUGCCCAGCUGCUGACUGCUUAGGAAAAGCCAUCCUUGAUUAAUGAAGGAAUGUUGUCCUUCCUGUCUAUAUUUCAGAAUUAAACAUCCAGUCAAAUGAUGAGUGAAUUAAACAUCCUCCCUGUGCUUCAAGUUUCCUCACAUCAAAAUAUGUGCUUUACCUGGUAAGUCAGGGGUUGAAUCCCUCAGAGCUGGACUGGACUGCUCUAUUACAUCCCAAACUGAGGCCAGAAGAGACAUACAUACUUCAUUCCACCCUGAUGAUUAUUGUCCACCUACCCAUUUUUGUAAAAAAAAAAAACCUAGCUUUCAUUCUUUGCAAGCAAAAUCUGAUAUUAGAAUGAUAAUUGUUUUAUUGGUAUGGGGCCUGGAAGAAUUUCAAAGCACUUUCCAAGGCUUUAAAAUAAGUCUGAAAGGAAAAUGCAAUAACCUGUAAUGUAUGAAUGACUCAACAGAUGUCCUAUUUUGUAACAAAAGCCGAGGUUGACUAAUUUGCCCAAAGUCACACAGCUUGUUGAAGGCAGAAUGAACCUAGUCUUAUCUCAAACAUGUUUAGUGUGAUUCAUCUUACUAGGACAGAAGCAGGAAAGAGAUCCAUAGAAGAACAUAUCCAAUGUCCCAGUGUAGCUUUCACUGCAGUUCUUAAAACCAUGUUAGAGAGAGUCGUGCAUGAAAAAUUAUGAAAGCUGAGGUAAUUUUAUUUUCAUGGUUCAAAAAACUGGAAAUGCUUCAGAUCUUAGAGAGCUAUAUAAAUGGAACAUUGCAGCAUCAAAAAGACAAAUAAAGAAGCAAAAGCCCCCUAUUGUUGUCUCUUAACGAUCAUAAUGGUCUUUGGUAGCUCCCUUCCCCAACUGUAAAAGUAUCCCUUUGAAAAAUAACUAAAUCAUUUUAAUGUCAAUUAAAUUGAUUUUCUUUUUGGUUGUCUUUCAUUCUCAUCAUUGUAUUAUUUUUAAAGAAUGAGUUUAUUGAGAUGUUACAUGCAUCAAGAAAAUAAUAGAAGUAUUUAUCUCUAUUUAUUGUGGCCUUUUAUCUACAUUUCUGUAAGUACAGAGAAACUCAAGAUUUCAAAAAUUCCAUUAUAUUUAACACGCUAAUACUCAACAAUUUUAGCCUUUAACUAAUUUGAUCAAUGACAACAUUCCAUUUUUCUUUGAGUCCCAGAGAAUAAUAAAAACCUAG